rnacentral:rRNA from 1 species
UACGUAGGUGGCAAGCGUUGUCCGGAUUUACUGGGCGUAAAGAGCGCGCAGGCGGUCGUUCAAGUCGCGUGUGAAAGCCCCCGGCUCAACUGGGGAGGGUCACGCGAUACUGAUCGACUCGAAGGCAGGAGAGGGUAGUGGAAUUCCCGGUGUAGUGGUGAAAUGCGUAGAUAUCGGGAGGAACACCUGAGGCGAAGGCGGGCUACUGGGCCGAUACUGACGCUGAUGUGCGAAAGCCAGGGGAGCGAACGGG